AAUAUUGGACAAUGGGGGCAACCCUGAUCCAGCCAUGCCGCGCGUGUGAAGAAGGUCUUCGGAUUGUAAAGCAAUGUAAGCUGGGUGGAAGGGCUCUAGGCUAAUACCCUGCAGUUUUGACGUUACCAACAGAAGAAGCACCGGUCUACUGUGUGUCAGCAUCCGCGGUAAUACAGAGGGUGCAAGCGUUAAUCGGAAUUACUGGGCGUAAAGCGCGCGUAGGUGGUUCAGUAAGAUGGGUGUGAAAUCCCCGGGCUUAACCUGGGAACUGCUUUCAUAACUGCUGAGCUAGAGUACGUUAGAGGGUAGUGGAAUUUCCUGUGUAGCGGUGAAAUGCGUAGAUAUAGGAAGGAACACCAGUGGCGAAGGCGACUACCUGGACUGAUACUGACACUGAGGUGCGAAAGCGUGGGAGCAAACAG
rnacentral:rRNA from 1 species